rnacentral:rRNA from 3 species
AGGCGCGAAAAUUCUGCAAUAGGCGAAAGCUUGACAGAGUUACUCUGAGUGAUGCCCGCUAAGGGCAUCUUUUGGCACCUCUAAAAAUGGUGCAGAAUAAGGGGUGGGCAAGUCUGGUGUCAGCCGCCGCGGUAAUACCAGCACCCCGAGUGGUCGGGACGAUUAUUGGGCCUAAAGCAUCCGUAGCUUGUUCUGCAAGUCUUCCGUUAAAUCCACCUGCUCAACAGAUGGGCUGCGGGAGAUACUACAGGGCUAGGAGGCGGGAGAGGCAAGCGGUACUCAGUGGGUAGGGGUAAAAUCCUCUGAUCCACUGAAGACCACCAGUGGCGAAGGCGGCUUGCCAGAACGCGCUCGACGGUGAGGGAUGAAAGCUGGGGGAGCAAACCGGAUUAGAUACCCGGGUAGUCCCAGCUGUAAACGAUGCAGACUCGGUGAUGGGUUGGCUUUGCGCCAACCCAGUGCCGCAGGGAAGCCGUUAAGUCUGCC